rnacentral:rRNA from 1 species
UACGUAGGGCGCGAGCGUUGUCCGGAAUUAUUGGGCGUAAAGAGCUCGUAGGCGGCCUGUUGCGUCCGCUGUGAAAUCCCAGGGCUCAACCCUGGGCGUGCAGUGGAUACGGGCAGGCUGGAGGCAGGCAGGGGAGAACGGAAUUCCCGGUGUAGCGGUGAAAUGCGCAGAUAUCGGGAGGAACACCAAUGGCGAAGGCAGCUCGCUGGGACGUGGACUGAACGCUGAGACGGCGAAAGCG